rnacentral:tRNA from 3 species
GGGGGAUUAGCUCAGUUGGGAGAGCGCCUGCCUUGCAAGCAGGAGGUCGCGAGUUCGAAUCUCGCAUUCUCCA